GUGCAACUCUUUCUAUAUUCAUCAAUCAACACGAAAGAGAUCCAUUUCAACAUUUACAUAAUCACAGUGUCUUAUUCUCUCUCUCAAACCUCUCCAAUUCACCAAGAUGCCAAGAAUGGAGGAUAUUCUGAACCUUCCAGUGCAAGACCUUCCUUGUUCUGAAUUUUCUGCUGAAAAUAUGAAUUGGGUAAAAUUGGAAGGUGGUCGUCAAGGUGGUGAUGAUAUUGCUUUGAUUCCGUUUGUUAGAGUUGAUGAUUUUGUAAAAGGGGAAUCUUCUAAUCCAGCUUGCCCUGCUAGCUUUCGCGUUGAAUCCAAACGAAAGAGACCUGUUGGGAGUGUUGCCAAACCAAGGGUUGAUGGUUAUCUUGAAUAUACUCUAUACUGGUGUUCUUAUGGUCCUGAAGACUACCGAGAGAGUGAAUCGGUUAUAGUGGAUGCCACAAGUGCCAAACCGGCUUCAGGGAAGGGUAGCCGCCCGGGGAGGCGUCACAUGAUGAGAGGUUGUCUUUGCCAUUUCACUGUUAAAAGACUAUAUACCCGACCCCACCUUGCCCUAAUAAUAUAUAACCAAAGAAGGCAUGUAGAUAAAUCAGGAAUGCCGUGUCAUGGAAUAAUUGACAUAGAUGCAGUAGGGACAAGAGCUAUGUAUGCUCCACGAAUUUCGGAUGAGUUACGCCAGAAAGUGAUGUCUAUGCUUUAUGCUGGAGUAUCUUUGGACAAUAUAUUACAGAACCAUGCUGAGGCGAUGCAGAAGCAAGGUGGAUCUCUAAAUCGCGACAAUUUUCUCACUCGAAAUGAUGUGCGCAACAUGGAAAGGACUAUUCGUAAUUCUUCACUUGAGCUACUGGGAAAUGAUGAGUGCAGUGUAAAGAUAUGGAUUCAGCGUCAUCAGAAGGAUGUUUUCUAUUUCCAAGAUAACGCAGGUUCGGAAUCUUUUAUUUUGGGUAUACAAACAGAUUGGCAGCUGCAACAAAUGCUUCGUUAUGGGAAUAAUAGUUUCAUUUCUUUCCAUUCAACAUUUGGCUCAAAGAAGCUUAAGUAUCCGGUAUGUUCGUUACUCGUUUUCGAUUCAUCUCAAAAUGCAAUUCCAGUUGUGUGGAUCAUCACCUCGUCUUUUGUUGGUAAGGAUAUUCAUAAAUGGAUUGUACUGCUAUCUGAAAGACUACGGACCAAGGAUCCCGGAUGGAGGCCUAAUGCUAUUUUUUUGGAUGAUCCAUCUUUUAACUAUUCUAUCAUAAGAGAGGCAUUCCGGUGUCGCAUCCUAUUGUGUACUUGGCAUGUUCGCCGUACUUGGAUAAAAAAGCUUUUCAAGAAAUGCUGCAACUUUGAGGUGCAGCGAGAGAUGUUUCGGCAAUUGGGAUGGAUUCUGUACUCUACAAGAUGUGGACCAAAUGCUAUGGAUGCAAUUGAAGAGCUUAUGCAAAUUUUUGUUGACCAGUGUGCCUUCAUUGACUACUUCAAGAGUCAUAGUCUUGCUAUUAUAGAUGUGUGGAUUAAUGGCAUAAAUUCGCUCCCUGUGACAACUCUCGAGCCACAUGCUGCAAUCGAAUCCUAUCACCUAAAACUAAAAUCCACUCUUUUGAAGGAGAAAUAUGCUAAUUUCUGGUCAAGAGUUGACUGGUUAAUCCACACUUUAACUACUGAAUUUCACUCAUUAUACUGGCUAGAUCAAUACAGUUCACAGACAGGCUAUUUUGAGAAUCUUCGUGACAAUUCUUUCUCCACUAAUGCUUGGUAUUGUGCUCUUCGUAUUCCGGAUGUUGAUGUGGUACUGGAUGAGCAAAAUCUCCAUCUUGCCAAAGUAUCAUCUCAGACUGACAGAGACUUGGUAUAUACAAUUUGGAAUCCUGGCUCUGAAUUUUCGCUUUGCGAUUGUUCGUGUUCUAGGCUGGGAAACCUUUGUAAACAUGUUGUCAAGAUGGCAACUUUCUGUAGAAAUCGGCAAGUUGCUAGACCAUUAUUGUCUUCUCAAAUAUAUAAACAGGCUUUGCUCACCCUUCUCAAUAAUCCUCCAGAUGAUCCUUUAGUUCUUGAUCAUACCAAUCUACAUGUGGCUCGUUUGCAACAAGAGAUUAAAGCCAUGGAAGACUUGUCGAAUAGUGGAUUACUACACCCUAUCGCCCCUGACUUAAGUUCUCAAAUAGCUGGAAGUCCUCUGCUUUUUCAACGCCUCCAGUGAGUUUUGAAAAGAGAGUGAUUUUGUUUGGGUUAAAACACACUUUUAUGCAUACUCAGUUGAAGCUACUUCACUUGAGCUAUCGAUUUGCAAGAAUUAAAAAGGAUUUAAGAUGGUUCCACAACUACACAGUUCAUAAAACCACAACACUCUGUCCAGAGAAUGCAGAUGGAGUUUGAGCGACGGCUAUUUUUUAGGCUAUUUGAGGUUUGUGGUGGCUCCUCUAUAGAAUCUUUCAAGCUGUUGUCAUAUUGAGGUAGAUCUACCGCCAUGCAAUCAGGUUUGAUCCAUUCUUUUUGUAUCAGCAUGUCGCACAAAAGGUAAUUACACGAAUUUGAGGUAUUAUUUAUGGCUGAUAAUAUUCAUUUCCCCCUGAGCUUGAAGGUACUUUGAAAUCUAUGUAGUUAUUUGUCAUUCAAGAAAUGUAUGGCUGAUAAUGGCAACAACUAUAUGGUGGUUGCAUGGAGCCAUUGAACUCAACAGCUUAUACACUAGACCCUACCUUGCAAAUUAAUAGUGAAUUGACAUUGUUAUAUUAAUAGAAUGGAGGAUAUAUACUCUGGUGAUGAGCUUCAUAACAAAAAAGGUUCAAAUAAAUGUUGAUAAAGAUGUGUGCCAAUCAAAUCCACCCUCUCCAAGUUCAACAAGAUUAUCAUCAGAAGAGCUAUUACUAUCUUGUAAAGAAAACAAGAGCUAAAACAAGAGCUAUUACGAUUGAGUAACCAACUACUUGUAUAGCAGUUAACACAUCUCCAUUUUCCUCGUCAUUACUAUGGUUUUGAACUAUAUAGAAAAUAUUUGGACUCAUCAAAUAUUACAUUAUUAUAUUUGUUUUCAAAAAAAAAAAAAUACUAUCAUGAAUUUUUUUUCUUGUUAUAGCCAAGGUAAGAUUCAUGCAUCACAAGCACAACUCGUAAGUUUUCUAAGUUUCCGCAUGUUGCGCAAGUUAUUGUAUCUUGACAUUAAAAAAAAAAUGUUCACACAUCAUAAUUAUUAUUACGUAAAUUAACCAGAACAAAGACAUUUCUUGGGUCGCCAAUAUAGAAUCAAAUUUAUCUGUUACCAAUGAAUAAAUAAAUCGAUAAGCUGCGGUUUGAUAUUGAUAUACUUGUAUAUUACUAUACGUAUAGUUUCCGUAUGCAUAGGUGAAUUCUUUUUUCUAAUGUUACAAAUUGCUUGAUCCAAUUGGUAGCAUGUAAAUUUAUGUAAGGAUGCGUGUUGUGUAUAUAAAACUAAUUUGACUUGCUUUUCUAAA